CUUGCAGGGGUUGCGGAUGCUGUUCAGGAAAAGGGACUGUUAUCUGAAGCUUUACAAAGAAAUUACAUCACACUUCCACAAGCUUAUCAGCUGAUUAAUCGUUCAGUUUGUGCAGUUGAAAAAAUGAAAGACAUGCCUGACAAACAUCUGAAAGAAGUCAUGGAAUCGCUGGAGAAAGGGAAUUUCAAAGGUGUGACCAUCAAUCCAGAGAGUUCAAAAGGCCAAGUAAAGAUAAAUCUCCC